rnacentral:rRNA from 1 species
GAACGCUAGCGGCAGGCCUAAUACAUGCAAGUCGGACGGUAACAUCGGGUGCUUGCUCCCGGAUGACGAGUGGCGCACGGGUGAGUAACGCGUAUACGAUCUGCCUUGUACAGGGGUAUAGCCCAGGGAAACUUGGAUUAACACCCCAUGGCAACAAGACCUGGCAUCAGGUCUUGUUUAAAAUUUCGGUGGUACAAGAUGAGUAUGCGUCCCAUUAGCUAGUUGGUGCGGUAACGGCGCACCAAGGCAGCGAUGGGUAGGGGCCCUGAGAGGGGGAUCCCCCACACUGGUACUGAGACACGGACCAGACUCCUACGGGAGGCAGCAGUGAGGAAUAUUGGACAAUGGGCGGGAGCCUGAUCCAGCCAUGCCGCGUGCAGGAAGACUGCCCUACGGGUUGUAAACUGCUUUUACACGGGAAGAAACCCCCCAACGAGUUGGGGGCUGACGGUACCGUGGGAAUAAGGACCGGCUAACUCCGUGCCAGCAGCCGCGGUAAUACGGAGGGUCCGAGCGUUAUCCGGAAUCAUUGGGUUUAAAGGGUCCGCAGGCGGCCCGGUCAGUCAGUGGUGAAAUCCCGUGGCUCAACCACGGGACUGCCGUUGAUACUGCCGGGCUUGAAUCAGUUCGAGGAUGCCGGAAUGUGUGGUGUAGCGGUGAAAUGCAUAGAUAUCACACAGAACACCGAUUGCGAAGGCAGGCAUCCAGGGCUGCAUUGACGCUGAUGGACGAAAGCGUGGGUAGCGAACAGGAUUAGAUACCCUGGUAGUCCACGCCGUAAACGAUGGUCACUAGCUGUCCGGACUUCGGUCUGGGUGGCCAAGCGAAAGUGAUAAGUGACCCACCUGGGGAGUACGUUCGCAAG